AUGACUGAUUUCAGAGAAAGAAAAUGAAAGAAAAAUCUCUUCCCUAUCCUCUGGCCUGAGUUUCUAGGAAAGGGAUGUUAAUUUUCAUGGAUACUUUCUGGACCAGUCACUUCGCACAGUUCAAAAGAUGCUGUCUUCUCUCUGGGAUAUGCUAUCAAGGAUUAGAGAAUUGAGACCCACUGACUUGAAGAAGGAGGCAUGGCUGUUGGGGAUAGAGUUAUGAUUACAAUUCAGGUCUUGUCUGUUAGCCUGCUGCUGCUUCCACUAUUCCUUCCAUCCUUGUGGCACUGGGAGAGGU
rnacentral:lncRNA from 1 species